rnacentral:rRNA from 1 species
AGAGUUUGAUCCUGGCUCAGGAUGAACGCUGGCGGCGUGCUUAACACAUGCAAGUCGAACGAUUGAAGCCCUCUUCGGAGGGUGUAUAGAGUGGCGAACGGGUGAGUAACACGUGGGGAACCUGCCCCUCUCCCUGGGACAACUCCGGGAAACCGGAGCUAAUACCGGAUACUCCUUGCGGAUCGCAUGGUCUGCUCGGGAAAGUUACGGCGGAGAGGGAUGGCCCCGCGGCCCAUUAGCUUGUUGGUGAGGUAACGGCUCACCAAGGCUGCGAUGGGUAGCCGAGCUGAGAGGCUGAUCGGCCACACUGGGACUGAGACACGGCCCAGACUCCUAC